CCUACGGGAGGCAGCAGUGAGGAAUAUUGGUCAAUGGACGAGACUCUGAACCCGCCAAGUAGCGUUAAGGAUGACUGCCCUAUGGGUUGUAACCUUCUUUUAUAAAGGAAUAAAACGAGGCACGUGUGCCUUUUUGCAUGUACUUUAUGAAUAAGGCUCGGCUAACUCUGUGCCAUCAGCCGCGGUAAUACGGAGGAUCCGAGCGUUAUACGGAUUUAUUGGGUGUAAAGGGAGCGUAGAUGGGUUGUUAAGUCAGUUGUGAAAGUUUGCGGCGCAACCGUAAAAUUGCAAUUGAUACUGGCAGUCUUGAGUAUAGGUGAGGUAGGCGGAAUUCGUGGUGGAGCGGUGAAAUGCUUAGAUAUCACGAAGAACGACGAUUGCGAAGGCAGCUUACUAAACUGUGACUGACAUUGAUGCUCGAAAGUGUGGGUAUCAAACAGGAUUAGAUACCCCUGUAGUC
rnacentral:rRNA from 1 species